rnacentral:lncRNA from 1 species
UACUCACCGAAAGUAUAAAUCUAUAUUUCUUCUUAAGAUUCUGAAUGUAGAAAACGUCCGGUGCAUUCUCUGUGUUGAACAUAAAACGGUCCAUAAAAUCUGAUGCCAUACCUAUCCAAUUGAUAUAUUUCUUGGGAUCUUGGCUGAUAUACCAAGACAAAACAUCCUCAGUAAGACUCCUCAUAAAGACCUUCAUUUGGAUC